UCCAAAAGAACAAAGGGCCUCGGAGGCCGCAAGUUAGAGCCGCUAAGGUUCAAAGAGUAAUUACUACUCCUUGCAAGGGGGAGAGCAGCGAGAGGCGAAGUCCCCGAGAGGGGAUAGAGCGGCCCGCAACUCCGCGGGAUUGCAUUUUACCACGCUUGCUUGAGAGAAAGAGAAGGGGGAAGAAAGCAUUUGCGCGUGCAGGCGCUGCUUGGGGGCCAGGGCGCGCGUCACGCCAAUUCAAGCGGUCUGCUGAACAGCUGCGGUCGGAAAGAGCCACCUGCCGGCAAGGUGGGGAGCGGUCGGGUGGGGAAGGCGGGAAGAAUGCCUCCCCUCGCUGGAGGGCGUGGAGAAGCUCGGCGUACCACGUGGGCUCCCUUGGAGGAGCCAAGCCGAGCGCGCCCCGAGAUCAGGUUCUCAAACACUUACGAAAAUCUGAACCAAUGACAUGUAUACAGUUGCAGUUCCUGGGUACCGUUGUCCGUGACUAGCAAUGUCUUCCUAUGUCUUUAAAAUGAUCUGGAUAGUAGUAAUUAGGAGGAAGAGGAAUUACUCGCCUCAGAUUUUACUUGAAAAUGGCUUGAGAACCAGGUUCUAUUUUAAAAGGAUUCCCAGUGUGUACUGGAAGUAAUCACACAUUUAAUGUAAAGUGUGACUGGACUCACUAAACUGAAGAUUUAAAAGAAUGUUAAAAGAAAAACAGUAGCUUCUGCCUUGGCAACUUUGGACAAAGAUGGAAUGAACACCACUUUAAUCCCUAAAAUCAGCAUCCUAGAUAAAUUACAGGAGCAGUUUAA